AUCCACUGGGAGUCCUUUUGCGUUUCAGAUGCUCCCAGGCUCUCCCGCAGUUUAAAGACUUAACUCAGCGGCUUUCAGGGCCUGUGGUUGAGGGACUCCGAAAGAACUGUUGCUGGUGGACCGGUUCAGGGUCUUGACUUCGCCACACAAAAGAACUUGAGAGCACGUCCAAAGUAAAGCUAAGACCUCUAGUACAGUGUUCAAUGGAACUGGUGAGAAAAGACGUCCUUGCUGUGUUCCUGAUAUGAAGAGGAAAGCAGUCCUUCUCCAUUAAGUAAAAUGCUGACAACAUGAGCCUCCCGUGGUCGGAACGGGCUUGUGAAGGCGGUGCUGGGGUGCACCAGGGCAGCAGCUACAGGGCUCUCCUCCCAAGCACCCAACGAGCAAGAUGGGUCUGAGGAUACCUGUGAGAAGUAAUUCAACACAUCUUUCACACAUGGGCCAAUUUGCUGGUCUAAGUUAAAUUGGAGUGACAAGGACAGCUGCUUAAAGAGUCCCAGAGCUGCUAUGUGGCUGAGCUGCAGUUCAGAGCCAGGGUGACUCAGCUUGCAAGCCUGUGCUCCUCACCUCCGUGGCAUGCUUCUCCCAGGCUGGCACUGAAUCACCGGAAGGACUCCUUAAGACAUGGAUAGGGGAUCCACCCCAGAGGUCCUGAAUCAGCAAGUCUGGGGAGGAGACUGAGAAUUGACUUUUCUAUCAAGUUCCCCAGUGAUGCUGAUGCUGCUGGUGUGCGUACCACGUUCUGGAACCUCCGCUCCCUGCUCUAGGGCCUUCUGGGUGGAGCCCUAGAGCUGAGCUCCCAGCUGUGGGCAUGGCAGGCACUGAAGAGUGUUGCUUUAGGGUAAUGUGUUAACAGUCUAAGAAGGUGCGUGGUGAGUAGGCUGACCAUUUCUCUCUCUUAUUGAACAAAAUAUUGCUAAGCCCUGGAUUUUCUCAGCUGUAAAUCACUGAAAUCUGAAUAAAAUUACCCCUACAAUGAAUCAAUCAAUAGAUUAAAA
rnacentral:lncRNA from 1 species